CACGUAGGACGCAAGCGUUAUCCGGAAUUACUGGGCGUAAAGAGCGUGUAGGCGGUGCUGUAAGUCAACCGUGAAAGCUCCCGGCUAAACUGGGAGAGGUCGGAUGAGACUGCAGCGCUAGUGGGUCGUAGAGGAAUGUGGAAUUCCGGGUGUAGUGGUGAAAUGCGUAGAGAUCCGGAGGAACACCAGAGGCGAAGGCGGCAUUCUGGACGACAUCAGACGCUGAGACGCGACAGCACGGGGAGCGAACGGGAUUAGAUACCCUAUAGUCC
rnacentral:rRNA from 1 species